rnacentral:misc_RNA from 1 species
UUGAAUGAACUUGGUGUGGUUGUUGCUGGCCCCUUGGCAUGUGCACGCCCGCCAUCCUCAUCUCUCCACCUGUGCACUUCUUGUAGACUUUGGGGGAUUUGUUUCCCCCUGGUCUAUGUUUUUUCAUAUACCCAGUAGCAUGUAAUAAGAAUGUAUUAUCUAGGCCUUUGUGCCUAUAAACCUUAUA